GUUUCGCCUUUUUUUUAAUUUUAAAAGACUAUUGUGGUAUUGAAAAAUACUAUAGUGCAAAAACCAUCCUCAUGUAGUAGAAUUUGUCUUUUAAUCGAAAAUUAAUCACGUUUAAAGUCAUCAAAAUUGUGAGAGCGUGUGUUGACUUCAGCAGUCAAGAAAUUGGUUUUGAGUUGUUGGAUUGGUCGUCUCGGUUAAGUAAAAUAUUAAUGGCGUCCGUGUAUAUCGGCGUACAAAUCUGUAGAUUCUCGUUUGUGCUGUGAAUAGUUACCAAUGAUUUGUAAAUUUCAUUCGCGAUGGAACUAAUUCAGUUAGAAGAAUGAAUCACCAUGUAUUGGAGGUCCCUCAGACAUGUCGAACAUAUAUUUCAGAUGCACAUUUUCUACGCCAUCCUAGGAAAAUCGUUUGACCAAUGAGAGAGAAUAUUUUUGCAAUCUUUAUAAAGUCCCAAAAUUGAAACGAGUAUUUCUGCCCCAAGAUGCUGGCCCCUCCCAAAAUACGAUCUCAGAGUCGGAAGAGGAUUGUGAUUGAAAUGGACAGCGGAAAGUCUAGUUCUCCCCUCAGUCGAAACGAAGCGGACGAAGAGAUGGAAGUAGGCGACUGCUCUGAGGAAGCGGAAGAAGAGGAGGAUGAAGACGAGGAGAAUGAAGAGCAAAACGAGAACGAAAAUGAAGAGGAAGAUGAGGAUGUUGUAAUGGCAGAGAGCUCUGCACCUCCACCCUCUGAGCCCACUUCAUCACCACCUGUAACAUACGAAGGGCUAGCUUCCCCUCUCCGCCUUCAUAUCACAUCAAGUGGCAAACCUCUUAGUCUGCACCGUGGUCGGGGUCGCCCGCGAAAAGAUGCCAGUUCUGCCGCAAACUCAGGGAAACCCAAAAAAUUGGGGCUUAAAUUAAACGGUGGAAAAGGUUUGUAACAUGAAAACAAAUUACAUUCAAGUCCAACUAUAGAAAAAUCUGAACUUAGUUUUUGAUUUAUUUUAAGAAGUAAAGUUUCCAAUUAAACUAUGGAGUUAACAGUAACUAUGUGGCUAUUGUAAGGUUAAACUGGUCGAAAC
rnacentral:lncRNA from 1 species